rnacentral:tRNA from 3 species
GUUAGAAUACCGGCCUGUCACGCCGGGGGUCGCGGGUUCGAGUCCCGUCCGCUCCGCCA